GGAUGCGAUCAUACCAGCAUAAAGCACCGGAUCCCAUCAGAACUCCGAAGUUUAGCGUGCUUGGGCGAGAGUAGUACUAGGAUGGGUGACCUCCUGGGAAGUCCUCGUGUUGCAUUCC
rnacentral:rRNA from 1 species